AACGAACGCUGGCGGCAUGCCUAACACAUGCAAGUCGAACGAGACCUUCGGGUCUAGUGGCGCACGGGUGCGUAACGCGUGGGAACCUGCCCUUAGGUUCGGAAUAACUCCCCGAAAGGGGUGCUAAUACCGGAUAAUGUCUUCGGACCAAAGAUUUAUCGCCUUUGGAUGGGCCCGCGUUGGAUUAGCUAGUUGGUAGGGUAAAAGCCUACCAAGGCGACGAUCCAUAGCUGGUCUGAGAGGAUGAUCAGCCACACUGGGACUGAGACACGGCCCAGACUCCUACGGGAGGCAGCAGUAGAGAAUAUUGGACAAUGGGCGAAAGCCUGAUCCAGCAAUGCCGCGUGAGUGAUGAAGGCCUUAGGGUUGUAAAGCUCUUUUACCCGGGAUGAUAAUGACAGUACCGGGAGAAUAAGCUCCGGCUAACUCCGUG
rnacentral:rRNA from 1 species